UGCUGGAGUUUCGAGGUUCUCACAGUCUGGAGGGGAACAGAUGCUGCCGGGAAGCUCAAAUCUGUACUGCCUGGUUCACAUGAAAACCCUGUAAUUUCCUGCAGUUUGUUCUGCGCUGUUCAGGAAUUGAAAUAAACAACACACAUCCCUGCUGACGAGAGCCGUGAAACCUCCAAGUUCCAUAGCCAAUACUGAAAAAAGAGCUUUAUUUCUGACUCAGUCUUCAGCUGAUAUAAAGUAGUGAAUCCACA